CUGAAAAGGAGAUGAGUUGUAGGUAGCUAUCGGACCAGUGCAUUCACAAGUAGAAGAAUGUGACGGCGAUGAAGAGAGAGUCGAUGAUCUUCAAUGCAAGGGAAUUUCUCAGCAGACCCAAGUUCAUUUUGGAUCCACAUCUUAUUACAACAGAAGAAGAAGAACAAUGGUGAAUUUGAAAUUUUGUUUGUGCCUUGCCGACAUUGAUAAUUACAUGAACCAUCUACCCACAAUGAAGCUUACAAAUUUGAUAAAAAUUGUAUUCCAGUAUUGAUUGCCCUCCGCAGGCUCCAUUAAUUGUUGUGAUGAUCUUAUUACAACAGAAGAAGAAGAAGAAGAGUGAAUUUGAAUUUUUGUUUGUGCCUUGCCGACAUUAAUAAUGACAUGAACCAUCUACGAUAAUGAAACUUACGAAUUUGAUAAAAGUUGUACUCCAGUAUUGAUUGCCCUCUGCAGGCUCCAUUAAUUGUUGUGAUGGCCCAAGCAGGGGAGGAAGCCUACUUUAACCAUAAUGACAUCUCUCUUGAGGGUGAAGCCUUGCCAAGUUAUUUACCUGACCAUGGAAAUGAGUUUUAUGAUGAUGGAAGUUACUUUUGUGAUGCUGAAUAACCUGUAAGCGAUGAAGGCAUGGACAUGGAUUUUGAAGUUGACGAUUUCUUUGAUGAUAACUUCUAUGAGAACUGGGAUGGCAGGUCAAUUGAUGGUAUUGCUGACCUUGAUAGUCUUAACUUGAAGUCAUUAACGGUGGAUGAGAUUAAGCUGCUACAUUUCCCAGAUCUUAAUGUCGCCUUCUCUUUCUACAAUUUUUAUGCCAAAAUGAACAGGAUUUCUGCAAGGAGGAGCAAGUUGAGGCGCAAUGUUAACGGUGAUGUCACACAACAGUCAUUUGUCUACUUCAGACAGGGAUUUAGAGAGAUGAAAUCCUAUGACGAGAGCAGUCAACGUAAACGUGAGCCAAAACCGGAGACUAGAUGUGGAUGCUAGGCUGAGAUGCAUGUUCAUGUCCACAUAGAUAUUGGGAGAUGGAUCGUAACAUAUUUCCAAGAAGUUCAUAACCACGAGAUGCUUGCUGAUGAAUUGACCUUCAUGCUUCCGGGACACAGGAAGAUGGAUGCCGGUGCAAUCAACCAAAUGAACAUGAUGUUGAAAGUCGGGAUAAAGACUCCUCAGAUUUAUGCAUCCUUUGUCAACACAGUAGGGGGCUUCCAUAAUGUUCCAUUUUUAAAGAGAGACAUGUAUAACCAAAUAGACAAGCAACAAAGGCUCUUAGGCAGGGAUGCCAUGGCUUGCUUAAAGUUCUUGCAAUCAACGGCUGAAGACAAUUCCGGAAUGUUUGUUCAAUACUUGGUUGACAAAGAGGGUCAUUUGGUGCAUCUUUUUUGGUCUGACAAGUGUAGUCAAUUGGAUUAUCAUAUCUUUGGAGAUGUGUUGGCGUUUGAUGCGACAUAUCAGAAAAAUAAGUAUAUGUGUCCUCUAGUUGUGUUUUCUGGUGUAAAUUAUCAUAAUCAAACCAUUGUGUUUGCCGCUGCUCUUAUCUCAAAUGAGAAUGAGGAUACUUAUACCUAGUUAUUGCAACAAUUCUUGGAGUGUAUGAAUGGAAAAGCUCCUCAAUGUGUUAUCACGGAUGGUCACGAAGCCAUGAAGAAGGCCAUUAAAUCAGUGUUUCCUGGUGCCUACCAAUGGCUCUGUGCAUGGCACUUAAUUAGGAAUGCAACAGCCAACCUUGGGAACCCAACCUUCACGUCGGAGUUUAAAAGAUGCAUGUUUUUCGAUUAUGAGAUAUCAGAGUUUCAAGACCGGUGGGAGAUGAUGGUUUCAAAACUUGGCCUCGAAGAUGGUUUCAAAACUUGGCCUCGAGGAUAAUCAAUGGGUGUGUGACCUUUAUGCUAGGAGGAAAAUGUGGGCUACAGCACACAUUCGUGGUCAUUUUUUUGGGGGUUUCAGGAUGACAUCUAGAUGUGAGGGGCUGCAUUCAAUGCUUGGAAAAUUUGUUCACUCGUGGCACACUUUGAGAGACUUCGUUGAGCAAUUUUUUCGUUGUAUAUCACAAAUGAGGUCGAGGGAAUGCCAAACUGACAUGGAAUUUGUGGUAGGCAAUCUGGUACUACAAAGUCCACUCCAUGCACUAGAGAGAUCAGUUGCAAAUAUACUCACAAGAGAAAUAUUCCUCCUAUUCCGGCCGAUGUUGACAAAGGCGUGCAGUUUGAAGGUCCGAUCAUGCACACUCACACCAACAUGUGAGAUUUACACCUUUCACGGUCGGGCAAUUCAUGGAAGGAGUGGCAGGUAUCUCACUACCCUAGUUCUUCUAUGUUUAAGUGCUCUUGCAUGAGGAUGGAAUCUCUCGGUAUACCUUGUGAUCAUAUCGUUGCAGUACUUGUACAUUUAGACUUCACCAAAAUUCCAAACAGUCUCUUCUUGGCAAGGUGGUCAAAGAAUGCUAGGUCUAGAGUGAGGGCAUUCAUGGACAAGGGACCCUUUUGUUGGGAUUCCAUGGUGACUUGUCGAAAUUGGAUGUUGAACAAUCUAUAUAGAGAGAUGUGUGUGCUUGCUUGUAAGAAAGUUGAACAAUUUGUAGAUGUCACUGGCAAGAUCAGGAACGAAAUCAUUCAUCUAAAGUAGCUAGGAGAGUCACUUGAGCCGGCCACAAUGCAGAAUGUAGAGUCCACCACUCUUGAAGGAUGUGUGAGGGAUCCACAAAUGGUCUGUCGUACUAGGCACCAUAGAAAGGGGUCGUUAAUUCAUUCCUCCCUAAGAGGCCUUAAACGGUGUAGACUUUGCCGACAGGUGGGCCAUAAUCGCCUAUCAUGCAACUUACGGCCUCAUGGCGCUGACCAUGCUAUCAAAGAAGACUACACUGACCAAUCUAGCGAGGAACCUGAGCUGGGAACCGACUUCAUCCCUACGAACUGAAUCCAUAUUUGUGAAGAUGGUGCUUGUUAUGUGUUAUUUUUCCUUUUUUUUGUUGGUUGCACCUGAUGGUUUGUGGUGUGACCAUAUGUACAUCUGCUGUAUUUGUUUUCAUCCUUCUACCAUUUUGAUAUCCCUGAUUAUGUGUGCCUGUAUCCUGCUAUUUCUGAACUUUUGAUAUGAUAGUGUGGAGACUGAAUGGAAAACGGUUUGCGUUAGUUAACUGAUUUUGAACUUAUGCUCAUUUUAAUCUCAUUGCA